CGCGUAGGCGGUCGACCAAGUCAGGGGUGAAAUCCUGCAGCUUAACUGUAGAAGUGCCUUUGAUACUGGUCGUCUCGAGGGAGGUAGGGGUGUGUGGAACUUCCAGUGGAGCGGUGAAAUGCGUUGAUAUUGGAAGGAACGCCGGAGGCGAAAGCGACGCACUGGACCUCUUCUGACGCUGAGGCGCGAAAGCUAGGGGAGCAAACGG
rnacentral:rRNA from 1 species